AUUUAGCCAAAGUCACAGCUUGAUGACAAUAAGUUGGAAGUUUAUGGUUGAUGCUGAGCACAACAAGAGUUGAUGAAGUGGCUGUGAUUUCACUUAUGGACGCUUACAACCUGCGAACAUUUGAUAUCCAGGUUGUGUAGGCUGGUUUUGAAGAGAUCUUCUGUUGGAAGUAGAGCCAUCUGUCCUCCAUCUUGUGUGAUGUCGUCCAUCCACAUAUCCAUCUCAACUGUCGUCUCACCGUCCUCCCAGGAAGUCUCCAUCUCCAUCUCAACCAUCAGUCAUUCAGCUUAGACGAGGGAGUGACAGGAGCGAUGGAGCUGAUGGAUUUGAGCUGGGAUUGGGAAUGACAGGGCCAUUUUACCUCACUGUAAAAGUGCUGUCUCCAGAACUAUCCCUGUCCCGAAGACCGAAACCACCACUGACGGCGCACCAAUGAUAUGAGAUGAAGAAUGACAACACUAACAGCAUUGCAGGGUGUGCUGCGCUCAGUGUGUGCGUGCGUGUGCGAGUGUGUGAAGCUAAA